CAGAGUUUAGGGUCCCUUGUGGGCCCAAACCUCCAACCCCCUUGGUGUCUACUACCCUGUUGCUUCGGCAGGCCCAGUGGGUACCUGCCGGAGCCUUAUGUGCAACAAUCUGUUUAUGAAUUGUUAGUCUGAACCUUCUGGAAAACAAAGAAUUGUUA
rnacentral:misc_RNA from 1 species